UGGUGGGAAGGGAUUGGAUCAUGGGGGUGAUUUCCCCCAUGCUGUUCUCAUGAUAGUGAGUGAAUUCUCAUGAGAUCUGAUGGUUUAAAAGCAUUUGGCAAUUCCCCCCUCUCUCUCUUUCUCCUGCUGCCAUGUAAGACUUGCCUUGCUUCCCCUUUACCUUCUGCCAUGAUUAGGAAGCCAGCUGCCAUGUCAUGAGGACACUCAAGUGGCCCUAUGGAGGGGUCCUACAAGUAAGGACCAGAGGCCUCCCUGUCAACCUGCCAGCAGGUGUGAGCCAUCUUGGAAGCAGAUUCUCCAGCCCAGCUCUUCAGAUGACCACAGGCCCAGGUGACCUCCUGACUGCAACCCCAAGACACAACCAUGCAAUGAGCCACUCCCUCUUUCCUGCCUACCAUAAACUGUGUGAGAGAAUAAACUGUGAGUGUAUUGUUA